rnacentral:rRNA from 1 species
AGUGAACGCUGGCGGUAGGCCUAACACAUGCAAGUCGAACGGCAGCACAGUAAGAGCUUGCUCUUACGGGUGGCGAGUGGCGGACGGGUGAGGAAUACAUCGGAAUCUACUUUUUCGUGGGGGAUAACGUAGGGAAACUUACGCUAAUACCGCAUACGACCUACGGGUGAAAGCAGGGGAUCUUCGGACCUUGCGCGAUUGAAUGAGCCGAUGUCGGAUUAGCUAGUUGGCGGGGUAAAGGCCCACCAAGGCGACGAUCCGUAGCUGGUCUGAGAGGAUGAUCAGCCAGACUGGAAGUGAGACACGGUCCAGACUCCUACGGGAGGAAGCAGUGGGGAAUAUUGGACAAUGGGGGCAAGCCUGAUCCAGCCAUACCGCGUGAGUGAAGAAGGCGUUCGGGUUGUAAAGCCCUUUUGUUGGGAAAGAAAAGCAGCAGGUUAAUACCCCGCUGUUCUGACGGUACCCAAAGAAUAAGCACCGGCUAACUUCGUG